GGAGGCGAGUGCUGUCUGGUGAUGACCCCGGGCUUCAAACCCGGCGGGGGUGGCUUCAAGGCCGCCUCGGUGGGUUCGAUUCCCACACGCCUCCGCCA
rnacentral:tRNA from 1 species